rnacentral:sRNA from 1 species
CUUGGUCAUUUAGAGGAAGUAAAAGUCGUAACAAGGUUUCCGUAGGUGAACCUGCGGAAGGAUCAUUAGUGAAUCUAGGACGUCCAACUUAACUUGGAGUCCGAACUCUCACUUUCUAACCCUGUGCAUCUGUUAAUUGGAAUAGUAGCUCUUCGGAGUGAACCACCAUUCACUUAUAAAGCACAAAGUCUAUGAAUGUAUACAAAUUUAUAACAAAACAAAACUUUCAACAACGGAUCUCUUGGCUCUCGCAUCGAUGAAGAACGCAGCGAAAUGCGAUACGUAAUGUGAAUUGCAGAAUUCAGUGAAUCAUCGAAUCUUUGAACGCACCUUGCGCUCCUUGGUAUUCCGAGGAGCAUGCCUGUUUGAGUGUCAUGAAAUCUUCAACCCACCUCUUUCUUAGUGAAUCUGGUGGUGCUUGGUUUCUGAGCGCUGCUCUGCUUCGGCUUAGCUCGUUCGUAAUGCAUUAGCAUCCGCAACCGAACUUCGGAUUGACUUGGCGUAAUAGACUAUUCGCUGAGGAUUCUAGUUUACUAGAGCCGAGUUGGGUUAAAGGAAGCUCCUAAUCCUAAAGUCUAUUUUUUGAUUAGAUCUCAAAUCAGGUAGGACUACCCGCUGAACUUAAGCAUAUCAAUAAGCGGAGGAAAAGAAACUAACAAGGAUUCCCCUAGUAGCGGCGAGCGAAGCGGGAAGAGCUCAAAUUUAUAAUCUGGCACCUUCGGUGUCCGAGUUGUAAUCUCUAGAAGUGUUUCCGCGUUGGACCGCACACAAGUCUGUUGGAAUACAGCGGCAUAGUGGUGAAACCCCCGUAUAUGGUGCGGACGCCCAGCGCUUUGUGAUACACUUUCAAUGAGUCGAGUUGUUUGGGAAU